AGAGCAGGGGAAAGAUUUAGAAGAGAUUUUUUAGUCAAAAGAUUUAAAGAGCUUUCUAGUCAAUUACAGGUGAAAGCUAAUGACGAUUUGGAUUGAUGAGAAGCUGAAUAGCUAGUGGAGCCUAGAGGUCCCAUUGUUAAACAGUUGGUACCAAAGAGAACAUAUUCCAAAACAGUUGAUAUAAUAUACACUAUGUAAUAAGUUUUUUUACUCAUGAUUGAGUUCCUUCACCAGAAUAUUCCUUGGUGAUGUCUGAAAUUUCAGAUUUGAAAUAAAGCAUUGUUAUAUUGGGAUUAA